CAUUCGUUUAUGCAGCGAUUAGCGCAUCCACUGCGCAUCUACUGCGUCUAUUAUCUGCGAGUCACGUGACAUCAUUUACCGAACGAUCACCUGCGUGAAUUGACUGCUCAGAUUGUAAUUGGAGUGCACAACGUUUCCAAGUUCAAUUGGCUUAAUAAUGGAGAAGACUACAUUCGUUUACGCAGUAGUCCGCAGUACUGCGAGCAGAGCAUCCUGAGCAGGACCUCCGAGAUGGCUGCGCAGAUAGGCAGCAGCUCUGCUUAAACGAACAACAAACUGCGCUGCAGUCGGUUGCGCAGGUGGAGUAAACGAACGACAUCUGCGGCAUUCUGCGGCAGUCUCUGCAUAAACGAAUGCACCCAUGUAGUCUUCUCCAUUGUUAAGCCAAUUGAACUUGGAAACGUUGCCUGAAAAUUAUUUCAAUUAUGAGUUAUGUUAUGAAAGUUCAGAACAAAGAAGGUGGAGAAUAACUCCUCCAAAUAGAUCCUACAAAACUAAAAGUAAUGCAAGUCAUUCCUAGCUAUCAAGCUACUUCGUCCCCAGUUAGUUUGGAAAAAUCUGAGAAGUCUACAUUCAGCAACAUUUCAAUCCUACCGUCAUCACUGUCUGAAAAUGUUAUGUGCACACGUCAUAUGUCAGAACCUUCAACCUAUUUAAAAAUUUUAUUAUAUUUAUUCAAAUAAUAAUUCAUAUUUAUUUAAAAUUUCUUUACUUACGCACUCCAAUUACAAUCUGAGCAGUCAAUUCACGCAGAUGAUCGUUCGAUAAAUGA